AAACCUUCCUAAUAUUACAGUUAAGGUGAUACUUCCUUCUGUUUCCUGCUCUUCAGGGUAGAGGAGGCGGAGGUGGUGUACCCAGACGGAAAGACCUGCAAAUACCCAGAGUUGGCCUACAGGAAGGAGAAGCUGUCCAGCGACUUCAUCAACAGGAAGGUCGGCAUCAACGAGUCCACGGAGACGAUCGCUCGGCUGCUGACGAAGAUGUGUCUCCGCUCCGAGGUCACGGGGGUCGGCGACGAGAUCGAGGUCGAGAUCCCGCCCACGCGCUCAGACGUGAUUCACGCCUGUGACAUCAUGGAGGACGCCGCCAUGGCGUACGGCUUCAACAACAUCCCCUACACCACGCCACGCACAUACACCGUGGCCAAUCAGGUGCCUG